rnacentral:lncRNA from 1 species
GCUUUCAAAUAUCACUGUUGCUAAGGGAAAAAUCACUACUGUUUCCUCCUCAGCUUUCUCUUUGCUGCUCUCCCCCUUGUCAGUGAGGAUUAGGCUUGACUGCAGCUGAUUUUGCUGUCUCACUCCCUGCAAUGGGGUGCCAAGCAUUCCACAGUGACACAGCAGCUUUUCCCCUGUCCCUCCAUUUCCCUUGGCUGCUCCAACUCCCCCAAAGCCACGGGGCUGCAGAUUUUCAGCGAUGCAGAAUACAAAUAACUGCAGCCUUCAGCGCCUUUGAAGGAGAUGGCCUUGCUGCUCUUCUAUUGCUCUUUUACGGACUGCCUUGACAGAUGAAAGUUAUCUCUACCAAUGAAACAAUCUUGGGGCGCAGUAUCCUUGUGCUGGGUGACCCCAUCAUUGAUGUUCCAGGUGCAAUGAAAACAGACUUUUGGGCACACUUCUUGUGGUUUUGGGCAUCUCUCUCCUCCAGCUUUCCCAAGGUGUGCAAGGUUUAAAGGUAAGGUGGU